rnacentral:lncRNA from 1 species
GUGAGCGGCCGGCUGCAGGCGGGCGAGGAGCUGCUGCUCUGCCUCGGCACGCCCGGAGCCAUCCCGGACCUGGAGGACGAUCCGAGCCGCCUGGCUAAGACCGUGGACGCGCUCACCCGCUGGGUGGGCUCGAGCAACUACCGGAUGUCAGUUGAACCUGAGAAUGCAGAACCUGUGCAUAUGGAAGGCUGAUGGUGUCUAAAUGUACCACCAGUCGACUAACCAGGAAGAUAUAACAGCAGUCAUGGCUGCCGCAGAACAUGUAAUUGCCGGAAUGCCACCACACCAGUACAGACCAUUACAGAUGAGUGGUUGUUAGUGACUUGGACAUUGAAUAUGAUGCAGUUAUUGGCAGACUUUAUUUCUUCAGUAUACCUGGACUUAGAAGUUUGACUAAUUGGGCUGGGAAAUGGCUCAGUGGCUAAACUGAGCUUGCACGGAAGUAUGAAGACCUGUCUUUGAAUCCCUGUACCCCACAUGAAGAAAGACUGAUGUGGAAAGCAUGUGUUGGUAAUCCUAGUACAUCUGUAGGAGAUGGAAGGAGGAGCUAGGUGGAUUCCUGGCUAGCUGGUGAGCUGGCCCAAGAGUACACAUAGUCAGAACAAGAGGACACCGCGUUUCCAACAAGGUGGAAGUCAGGACCAACACCUGUGAUCAUUAGCUGUUCCACACACAGAUGUAUUGUACCUGUGUGCCCCACCCAUACACAUACACACAUGAAAAACUGGCUUGACCACCCUAUGGGACUUCUGUCAUUAAGACCCCUUUGCAAAACUGUAAAAGAGAAAUGGCUUCUAGCAGCAUCAUUGUUUAGGCUAGCCUUGAAUUUGUAACCUCUUAUGUCCACUCAAAAUUAGUAGGAUUAUAGGUGUAUGUACCUUACACUUGGCUUCAUUACAUUCUGUCUCUGUUUCAUUUAGCUUUAUUUUCUUUUUGAGACCCGGUCUUUCUAAGUAGCCUUGGUUGUCGAGGAACUUGGCUAUGUAGACCAGGCUAGCUGGAAGUCAUAGAAGUUUGCCUGCCUCUGCCUCUUGAGUUCUGGGAUUAAAGCUGUGCAUCACUAUGCCCAACUUCAUUAAGCUUUGACCUCCUCUACUUUCACUCUUUACAUUUUUAAACUUUUAUUUUAUGUGUAUGAGUGUUUUGCCUGCCUGCAUGUCUGCCAUGUACAUGCUGAGUGCUCUUGGAGGUCAGAACAAGGUAUUGGAGUCCCUGCAGCUGCAGUUGUAGAUGAUUGUGAGGCACCAUGUGGGGUCGGAAGCUGAACCUGGAUCCUUUGCAAGAACAAGUGCUCCUAACCACUGAGCCAUCUCUCAAGCUCCAUUCCUUUUGAAUUCUUAAUUCUCUUCUCCCUCUUCAUUCUUGCUUUAUGUUCCUUAUUUAAUAAAACACAGUAUUGGUUAACUCGACUAACUCUCAUACCUGAUCCAGUGCUACUGAAGAUCAGUGGAGAAAACCACAAAACCACUUUAAUUGGGCUUAAUUUAAAUUGCUGCACUCUGUGGUGGCCCCACUUAUAGUGUAUUUUCUGAGUUCAUUCACUCACUUAUUUUUUCUCUCUCCUUAGACCUUGCCAGUGUCUUUUCUUCUGCUGACACUGUAGAUCACUCAGUUAUUCAUUUCACUUGUAUUUGUAUGCUCAUUUGCUUGGUCACUUAUUCUGUAAUAUUCUUUCACUCAUUUUCUUAAAGUUUAUAAUUUUUUUCUUAGAUUCUUCAAGUUAAUUUUGAAAAAAAAAAAAGAUCCUAUGAACUUGUUUCCAGCAAGAGGAGCAUUGUGGGUGUGUGUCCUUUAUGAACAACACGUUUUCUUCUUAUCCACCGUAGUGGAAGACUCUCCAUGAUUAUGAGUUAAGCUUACAUGAUAGCUACAGACCAAACACUCUUGUCUGGUUUGCCAACGUCACAAUAAAAUGUCCUUACGCA